AACGAACGCUGGCGGCAGGCCUAACACAUGCAAGUCGAGCGCGCCCUUCGGGGUGAGCGGCGGACGGGUGAGUAACGCGUGGGAACGUGCCCUUUUCUACGGAAUAGCCUCGGGAAACUGAGAGUAAUACCGUAUACGCCCUUUGGGGGAAAGAUUUAUCGGAAAAGGAUCGGCCCGCGUUGGAUUAGGUAGUUGGUGGGGUAAUGGCCUACCAAGCCGACGAUCCAUAGCUGGUUUGAGAGGAUGAUCAGCCACACUGGGACUGAGACACGGCCCAGACUCCUACGGGAAGCAGCAGUGGGGAAUCUUAGACAAUGGGGGCAACGCUGAUCGAGCCAUGCCGCGUGAGUGAUGAAGGCAUUAGGGUUGUAAAGCGCUUUCAGCUGGGAAGAUAAUGACGGUACCAGCAGAAGAAGCCCCGGCUAACUCCGUG
rnacentral:rRNA from 1 species